rnacentral:rRNA from 1 species
UACAGAGGGUGCAAGCGUUGUUCGGAAUUACUGGGCGUAAAGCGCGCGUAGGCGGACCUGCAAGUCGGGGGUGAAAGCCCGAGGCUCAACCUCGGAACUGCCUUCGAUACUGUAGAGCUUGAGACCGGAAGAGGUAAGUGGAACUGCGAGUGUAGAGGUGAAAUUCGUAGAUAUUCGCAAGAACACCAGUGGCGAAGGCGGCUUACUGGUCCGGUUCUGACGCUGAGGCGCGAAAGCGUGGGGAGCAAACAGG